GAUGAAGAACGGUAGUGAAAUGCGAUAAGUAAUGUGAAUUGCAGAAUUCAGUGAAUCAUCGAAUCUUUGAACGCACAUUGCGCCCGCCAGUAUUCUGGCGGGCAUGCCUGUUCGAGCGUCAUUUCAACCAUCAAGCCCCCGGCUUGUGUUGGGGACCUGCGGCUGCCGCAGGCCCUGAAAAGCAGUGGCGGGCUCGCUGUCACACCGAGCGUAGUAGCAUACAUCUCGCUCUGGGCGUGCUGCGGGUUCCGGCCGUUAAACCACCUUCAUAACCCAAGGUUGACCUCGGAUCAGGUAGGAAGACCCGCUGAACUUAAGCAUAUCAAUAAGCGGAGGA
rnacentral:misc_RNA from 1 species